UACGAAGGGGCUAGCGUUGCUCGGAAUUACUGGGCGUAAAGCGCACGUAGGCGGAUCUUUAAGUCAGGGGUGAAAUCCUGGAGCUCAACUCCAGAACUGCCUUUGAUACUGAGGACCUUGAGUUCGGGAGAGGUGAGUGGAACUGCGAGUGUAGAGGUGAAAAUUCGUAGAUAUUCGCAAGAACACCAGUGGCGAAGGCGGCUCACUGGCCCGAUACUGACGCUGAGGUGCGAAAGCGUGGGGAGCAACA
rnacentral:rRNA from 1 species